ACAACCACAGCACGUUAAAACAUUGGUUCUCGUAAGAUCACCGAAGUUAAGUAAUGUUGAGCCUGGUUAGUAGCUACAUGAGUGACCGUUCAGGAAUACCAAGAGCUGUAAG